CUCAAGUCUCCGGUUGUCCAGCUCUGUGAAGGUCACUCUUAGGUCGUGACCUGGGUCUGCUGGGGAAGAUGGUGUCAGCGGUCCACUCACUAAAACCUAUCUGCAUCCUCAGAGUCCAGACUCCCGGUGCUUCUGUGUCCCCGGUGGACUUGUAGAGACGCCUUCCCUCCUGGGGAUGGCCCCUUCCCGGGGCAGCACUGCCACGGAGCUGCCUCCAGCCGGGAAGUUAGCGCCAG
rnacentral:lncRNA from 1 species